ACGCUGGCGGCACGCCUAACACAUGCAAGUCGAACGAAGUAGCAAUACUUAGUGGCAGACGGGUGAGUAACAUGUAGGUAUCUGCCCUUUGGCCUGGAAUAACACGAGGAAACUUGUGCUAAUACCGGAUAAGUCUUUACAGAGAAAGCUUUAUGCACCAUUGGAUGAGCCUGCACUUGAUUAGUUUGUUGGUGGGGUAAUGGCCUACCAAGACUGUGAUCAAUAGCUGAUUUGAGAGGAUGAUCAGCCACAUUGGGACUGAGACACGGCCCAAACUCCUACGGGAGGCAGCAGUGGGGAAUCUUGCACAAUGGAGGAAACUCUGAUCCAGCGAUGCCGCGUGAGUGAAGAAGGCCUUUGGGUUGUAAAGCUCUUUCGUCGGGGAAGAAAAUGACUGUACCCGAAUAAGAAGGUCCGGCUAACUUCGUGCCAGCAGCCGCGGUAAUACGAAGGGACCUAGCGUAGUUCGGAAUUACUGGGCUUAAAGAGUUCGUAGGUGGUUGAAAAAGUUAGUGGUGAAAUCCCAGAGCUUAACUCUGGAACUGCCAUUAAAACUUUUUAGCUAGAGUAUGAUAGAGGAAAGCAGAAUUUCUAGUGUAGAGGUGAAAUUCGUAGAUAUUAGAAAGAAUACCAAUUGCGAAGGCAGCUUUCUGGAUCAUUACUGACACUGAGGAACGAAAGCAUGGGUAGCGAAGAGGAUUAGAUACCCUCGUAGUCCAUGCCGUAAACGAUGUGUGUUAGACGUUGGAAAUUUAUUUUCAGUGUCGCAGCGAAAGCGAUAAACACACCGCCUGGGGAGUACGACCGCAAGGUUAAAACUCAAAUGAAUUGACGGGGACCCGCACAAGUAGUGGAGCAUGUGGUUUAAUUCGAAGAUACGCGCAGAACCUUACCAACACUUGACAUGUUCGUCGCGACUCUAAGAGAUUAGAGUUUUCGGUUCGGCCGGACGAAACACAGGUGCUGCAUGGCUGUCGUCAGCUCGUGUCGUGAGAUGUUGGGUUAAGUCCCGCAACGAGCGCAACCCUCACUUUUAGUUGCCAUCAUUAAGUUGGGCACUCUGAAAGAACUGCCAGUGAUAAGCUGGAGGAAGGUGGGGAUGACGUCAAGUCCUCAUGGCCCUUACGUGUUGGGCUACACACGUGCUACAAUGGUAUCUACAACAGGAAGCAAGACUGCGAAGUUAAGCAAAUCCCUAAAAGAUACCUCAGUUCGGAUUGCACUCUGCAACUCGAGUGCAUGAAGCUGGAAUUACUAGUAAUCGUGGAUCAGCGUGCCACGGUGAAUGCGUUCCCGGGUCUUGUACACACCGC
rnacentral:rRNA from 1 species